GAGAACAUCAGACUGAGUCUUUUAGACAGAGGAAGAAACGACCAAAGAGUGUGGGAGUGUCUAAUUCCAACAGAUUUUGAACCACCUCAAGUCAGUCCUAUCAACCCUCAUCCUGGUGCUGAGGCUGUACUGAAGCAGCUCUCGGGGGAAGCGUUUGUGGAUAAGCAUAUGGCUGAUCUCAUUCAGAGGGUCAAGAUGGUGCUGCAUGUAGCAGAUGACCUGCUUGUGGAGGAGAUGAUACCAGAUGAAUUGCACUCAAGACUCCUUAUGGCUGGGACCAGUCAGGAACAAAUGAGACUAAUGUCGGAUGCUUUACAAGCAGGAGGAACAAGAGUGAAAUCUGCCUUCUACAAAGCUCUCCUUAACCAUGAACCUCGUCUUGUCCAGGACCUGGCAGCAGCUUCCCACUAAUGAAUGUGAUGACCUGGGUUGGUCCUCGACCGCUGGACAAAGGGCAGCAAGCGGUCCCUCUUCCAGAGCAGGAUGUCAGAAUACUACUGUCACUAGGCUCCUAAUCUGAAUUGGAGUGUUGGGAGAUAAGACCGACAGCAAGCAGUCCCUCUUCCAGAGCAGGAUGUCAGAAUACUACAGUCACUAUAAUCCCAAUCUGAGUGUUGGGAGAUAAAGACUGACAGCAAGUGGUCCCUCUUCCAGAGCAGGAUGUCAGAAUACUACAGUCACUAUAAUCCCAAUCUGAGUGUUGGGAGAUAAGACUGACAGCAAGUGGUCCCUCUUCCAGAGCAGGAUGUCAGAAUACUACAGUCACUAGGCUCCUAAUCUGAAUUGGAGUGUUGGGAGAUAAGACUGACAGCAAGUGGUCCCUCUUCCAGAGCAGGAUGUCAGAAUACUACAGUCACUAUAAUCCCAAUCUGCAUCGGAGUGUUGGGAGAUAAGACUGACAGCAAGCGGUCCCUCUUCCAGAGCAGGAUGUCAGAAUACUAGUCACUAUAAUCCCAAUCUGCAUCGGAGUGUUGGGAGAUAAGACCGACAGCAAGUGGUCCCUCUUCCAGAGCAGGAUGUCAGAAUACUACAGUCACUAUAAUCCCAAUCUGAGUGUUGGGAGAUAAGACUGACAGCAAGUCUAUGAUGAUUUAAAGUUAAAGAUGUUAUGGUCUUGUGUUUGUGCUAACAUUCCACUACUUGACACUUCUUGUCAUGC